CGGCGGUCUGCUGGGAAGCUGGGGGCUCCCGGAGCCGGCGGCGGGGGGCGACGCGGGGAGUCCGAGAAAGGAAGGGUGCCUUGCUAGGAUGAAAGGUUGCCGUGUAUCCUGAAAACAGACAUCUGUCCCCAGCAGCAAUGCAGUCCUUUUAGGAUUUUACCUACUGGUGGUGACAUGGAGGAUCAGAAGCUCCCCUGCUCCCCUUCCAGGCCACAGUUAACAUAGGCCAGAGGUUGCUGUGGAGCCACCACAAGGAGAAAUGCACAGUGACCGGCUUUCACUGGGAGACCUUCAAUGAGCAGCAGCGAGGAAGCAGCCACGGCCUGAGGCUGAGUGUCACGUCUUGGUUUUAAAAUUAAAACUGAAGAUAAAACACCCAAAAUAAAUAAGAAUGUAAAUUA